GAUAAACGCUAGCGGCAGGCUUAACACAUGCAAGUCGAGGGGUAGCAUAGAUUGUAGCAAUACAAUUGGAGGCGACUGGAGCACGGGUGCGUAACGCGUAUGCAACCUACCCGUCACAGGGGGAUAAUCCGGAGAAAUCUGGUAUAAUCCACCAUAACAUAUGGAUAGGCAACGGUUCAUGUUGAAAUUUCCGGAGGUGUCGGAUGGGGAUGCGUAGCUUUAGCUUGUUGGUGAGGUAACGGCUCACCAAGGCGACGAUGCUUAGGGAGACUGAGAGGUUUUCCCCCCACACUGGUACUGGGACACUGACCGGGCUCCUACGGGAGAUAGCAGUGAGGAAUAUUGGCCAAUGGGCUCAAGCCUGAACCAGGCAUGCCGCGUGCAGGAUGACGGCUCUAUGAGUUGUAAACUGCUUUUGUACGAGGGUAAAGUGGAUUACGUGUGACCUUUUGAAAGUAUCGUACGAAUAAGGAUCGGCUAACUCCGUGCCAGCCGCCGCAGUAA
rnacentral:rRNA from 1 species